rnacentral:tRNA from 2 species
GGGGUCCUAGCUCAGCCCGGGAGAGCACACGGCUGAAGACCGUGGUGUCGAGGGUUCAAAUCCCUCGGACCUCA